UACGUAGGGCGCAAGCGUUGUCCGGAAUCAUUGGGCGUAAAGAGCUCGUAGGCGGCCUGUUGCGUCCGCUGUGAAAUCCCGGGGCUUAACCCCGGGCGUGCAGUCGAUACGGGCAGGCUAGAGUUCGGCAGGGGAGACUGGAAUUCCUGGUGUAGCGGUGAAAUGCGCAGAUAUCAGGAGGAACACCGGUGGCGAAGGCGGGUCUCUGGGCCGAUACUGACACUGAGGAGCGAAAGCGUGGGGAGCGAACAGG
rnacentral:rRNA from 1 species